GGCCUUGACAUACUAAGAACUUUCCAGAGAUGGAUUGGGUGCCUUCGGGAACUUAGAUACAGGUGCUGCAUGGCUGUCGUCAGCUCGUGUCGUGAGAUGUUGGGUUAACGUCCGCAACGAGCGCAACCCUUUUCCUUAUUUGCCAGCGGGUAAUGCCGGGAACUUUAAGGAUACUGCCAGUGACAAACUGGAGGAAGGCGGGGACGACGUCAAGUCAUCAUGGCCCUUACGGUCAGGGCUACACACGUGCUACAAUGGUCGGUACAAAGGGUUGCUACCUCGCGAGAGGAUGCUAAUCUCAAAAAGCCGAUCGUAGUCCGGAUCGCAGUCUGCAACUCGACUGCGUGAAGUCGGAAUCGCUAGUAAUCGCGGAUCAGAAUGCCGCGGUGAAUACGUUCCCGGGCCUUGUACACACCGCCCGUCACACCAUGGGAGUUUGUUGCACCAGAAGUAGGUAGUCUAACCGCAAGGAGGACGCUUACCACGGUGUGGCCGAUGACUGGGGUGAAGUCGUAACAAGGUAAGCGUAGAUGA
rnacentral:rRNA from 1 species